rnacentral:rRNA from 1 species
GACGAACGCUGGCGGCGUGCCUAAUACAUGCAAGUCGAACGCUGAAGCGAGGAGCUUGCUCUUCUUGUAUGAGUUGCGAACGGGUGAGUAACGCGUAGGUAACCUGCCUUGUAGCGGGGGAUAACUAUUGGAAACGAUAGCUAAUACCGCAUAACAAUGGAUGACACAUGUCAUUUAUGUGAAAGAGGCAAUUGCUCCAAUUCAAGAAGGGCCUGCGUUGUCUUAGGCAGUAUGUGAAGUAACGGGGCACCUAAGGGACCAGACAUAGCCGAGCCGAGAGGGUGAUCGGCCCCACUGGGAAGGAGACACGGCCCAGAGUCCUACGAGAGGGAGCAGUAGGGGAUCUUCGGCGAUGGGGGCAACACUGACCGGGAGACGCCGCGCGAGUGAGGAAGGUUUUCGGAUCGUAAAGCUCUGUUGUAAGUCAAGAACGAGUGUGAGAGUGGAAAGUUGACACUGUGACGGUAGCUUACCAGAAAGGGACGGCUAACUACGUG